AACCACCUAAUUUCUAGGGAUCCUACCCUCGCACCGCCACCAUCUACAUCAGGAUCCUCCCUGAUCCAAAAUCCAUCCCCAUCCAAUCAGUGGCUGCGCCCCCGAUCCAAAUCCCCUCGGCCUCCACUCGCUGCCAACCAGCACGCCUCCUCGUCUAGGACCACCUCCCCGCGCCGGCGAGCGCCAUCGCCGGAGUUGCUCCGUUCCUCGCCCGAACCAGCAGGCCGUCCUCACCGCCCUGCCCCUUUUCCCUCCUUCGCUGAAGCUCUCUGUCUCACUGGACUCCCUCUCUUUUCUCUGUAACAGCGUCACCGCCAUCUUCUUCCCGGAGGACCUCGACGAGAAUGCCGCCCGCGGUACCCCCGAUCUUCCCCGGCGCGACCCCGUUCCGCUAACGCCCCUGCGCCAUGCUGCCGUGCCCCGCCUUGGCCUGCCGUGACCCGACUCCUGCCUCCUCUGCUUCACCCUGCGCCGAACGACAAGCCGCAGCCGUCGUCACAAGGAACGAGCAGGAGCUCGCCCAAGCUCCAUGGCGCCGCCGCGUCGUCCUGCUUCGUCCGGUGACCUCCGAGCAGCGCCACCCUCCGGAUCUGCUCGAGCUCGCCUCGCCCCUGCGCCUCAAGUCCCACGCCGCCGCUCCUGCUUCAUUCCGGCGAGGAUCCGCCCGGAUCCGUUCGCCUCCACGCCGUCCGCGUCGCCAAGCCCGGCCGUAGCCGUCGACCCCUGCAUCCCCUGCUUCACGAUCGAGGAGACCAGCGCUGCACCCUCGUUGACCUGUUCCAGCACCAGCGUGGACGAGAACCACGUUGCCCGCGCGGGGCCUCCUCUUGCCUCGCCAAGGGCCGGCCUAACUCUCCACCGACUGGGCCAUGGCCCAUGUUCCGGUAACGUUGCGAUUGUGAGGAUCCGUUCGACUACGUUGGUUCGUCUACCUU